rnacentral:rRNA from 1 species
UACAGAGGUGGUAAGCGUUGUUCGGAAUUACUGGGCGUAAAGGGCGCGUAGGCGGUCCGAUAAGUCCCGUGUGAAAUCCCUCGGCUCAACUGAGGAAUGGCACGGGAAACUGCCGGGCUUGAGUUCGGGAGAGGGAAGCGGAAUUCCGGGUGUAGCGGUGAAAUGCGUAGAUAUCCGGAGGAACACCGGUGGCGAAGGCGGCUUCCUGGACCGACACUGACGCUGAGGCGCGAAAGCUAGGGGAGCAAACGGG